UACGUAGGGUGCAAGCGUUAAUCGGAAUUACUGGGCGUAAAGCGUGCGCAGGCGGCUAUGCAAGACAGAUGUGAAAUCCCCGGGCUCAACCUGGGAACUGCAUUUGUGACUGCAUGGCUAGAGUACGGUAGAGGGGGAUGGAAUUCCGCGUGUAGCAGUGAAAUGCGUAGAGAUCGGAAAGAACACCAACGGCGAAAGCACUCUGCUGGGCCGACACUGACACUGAGAGACGAAAGCUAGGGGAGCGAAUGGG
rnacentral:rRNA from 1 species